rnacentral:lncRNA from 1 species
UCAUUGCGAAAUGACACUUCACUUUUCAAUAACGUAACGCAUACACUCCGCUUAGUUUGACAACUGGGCUUAUUUUUGUUCGUUAUAUCCGGUAAUGAAGUUAUUCGGUAAGAAAGUAAGUAAUUUUUACAGUUAUUUGAUAGUAAAGAAGCUCGCUUUAUACUUGGAUAUUACCGUAACUCUCUUAUCUCUGUUGUUUCACCGGAACACAGUGAAUCAUCACGCUCUUUAUUACAGUUAAUGAUUAUUGAAUGCACCUAAAUCUAUCGAUGAUCAUAGAAAGAAAUUCCGAACUGAGUAAAGUGUCUUGCAUAUCUACGACAUUCUUAGUUAUUUUGUCCAUCCCUUUUAUAUUGGGAGGAAUACCAAAAACAUAUUCUUCUAUCGAGAACGAUCGAAAAAAUGGUGUCGUACUUAUCGCAAUUGGUAGCGGAUUCGCUGUAAUUGCCUUAAUUGUGAUAUGCAUCUAUAUAUUUAUCAGACGAAAACACGAAAGUAAUAGUAACUCUGAUAUGAUGUCUUCUCAAAUUACUCAAGAUCCAGGGGAUAUAUCGUUGGAAACUAUUAUAGACGUGUCUAACCCGAUAGAGGUGUCAGAAGACGACGACCCACCUCCCUACAACGAAGAACCUCCAUCGUACGAAUCUGUGAUUCGAGAACAAAGAACGAAUUGAUGUUACCAGUAAGUAAGCGGCCGUAAAAUGUGGAGUUGAUAAAAUUUCUAGUCAGCAAUUUGGCGUUCUCAUGCCAUUAUUAUCGAAGUGUUAAGACGAGUUUCAUUCGCCGAUUUAUGGAAACUUUUAUGUAAGUAAUCUUUGCUAUUCUCAGAAGGUUUGAAAGCAAUUUAAGUGAUAAAAUGCGUAUUUAUGCAAUUAAAUUUCUUAAAAUUUGUAAAUAUGUAUACAUAAAGUUGACACAACGCGAAUACAGAAGACAUUGAAGACAUUAGUUCAUGUAUAUGCGUAAAACUACAUAGCGAGCCAUAACUAAUUUUACAAAUUUAAAGUUUGUAAAACGAAAAAAUUAACAUAAAUUUGUUUGUAACUUUAUAAUAUAAUUGGCAACUGAAAAUGUUUGUUUUUUUUAUUACUAUCUUAUAUCGCUUCGCGCUUUGUAUCCUGCAAAACUACAAAAAUGGCGGCUUUCGCGAGCAACGUCAUUUGUUAUCGAAACUGAUUUAAAUGCAAUCUAUUAAGUGCACUCAGUGAGUAUUUGGAAAUUAACGAAUCGACCAAUUUGUCGAUUAGAAUUUAAAUUGACGAAUUAGUUCGUCGAUUCGCAUUCGUAUUUUUUUUUAACCGACUGAAUGCCCUUAACAGAUUGCGUUUAAAUGAGAGAAUUGAAAUUGGAAUCGACGAAUUGCUGCACCUUCACGUCUACAAAUUUCUGCUAUUUAUGUGGCAACGAGAAGAAUUCCCCAGUUGCCUGAUUUUUGACAAGUUUACUAUUACCUGGCUACAAAAAUUACCGAAUUUCUUCAUACAGAGUAUACGAAUAAGCAAGGCUUUAUCUGUACACUAAAAUAAUUUGUUAAUUGCAAACAAGAUUGCACACCUUCACGAGGUAGUGAAGGAAAGACUUAGGUAGGCUUUUGUAUAGGCUUUGUAAAAUAUUUUAUGACACACUAAAGUUCUAAUUACACAUAUUUAUGGCUCAUCCUGUAUUAUAUUUUUGAAAAAAUAAAUAAAAUUAUUUCACAUAUUGAAUAUUUGUAUUAUGCGACAUUUAUUGAAAAUAUUAUACUAUACAGUUUAAGUAUAAUUAUUAAAUGGCAUCUAAAUUUUUAAAACUGUAUGCUAUAUAAGCAAAUAUAGUGUUGCGUGUACAGUACGAAAGAUAUAAUGUAUGUGAUAUAUAGGAUGGAAGGUAUGCAGUUUUUCGAGUAUAUCUUAGUUAAUAGAAGAGGAAAUGAUCUCAAAUUCUCUCAAGUAAAUAAUUGCAUAAUUAAUUGUAACAUUAUUUUUUAAAAAAUUUACAAAACUUAUGAUAGUCUAGUUGUCUCGAAAUCCAAUACCAGGCGUAGAAACUAUAGAGGCAGGAGGCUCCAAUUAACUAUGUAGGAACAUACGAUAAAAACUAGAAGUCAUUUUAUUUCAAUUCAAAUAUUUUCCCUCGAAAGGAGUUAGAUAGAUGACCGGCACGUGCCGACUCUAUUGCUAACGGAAAAGUAUGAUGUACAGGGGCGAGACACUGCUAAUUUUAGGUGGCGAGCAUAUAUUUUAAAAUAAAUAAAUUAAAGAUAUGAUAAAAAUACGCGCUACAUUCUACCAGAACACAAAGAACAAUUUGCAUAAUAUUCUGUACUAAGUUAACUUUAUAUGUAAUUGUUGCGCGUUGGCUAAAACGAAGAACUAUUCCAAGUCGCUGGUUCCAGUCGAAUUUUGCACCUCGUAUCUUUAGUCAAGUCCCUGAUUUCCAGUAGUGUGGAAAAAGCGGAAUAAAGAGCUUCCGCAACCUAUAAGAAACACAUUUAAAAAUCUUUUUAUUAAUUAAAUUCGUAAUUUAAUAUUCACCACAUUAAAACGCGAGGAAAUUAAAUAUACUGACUCUUAUAGGAAAGUCUUCUUUAAUGAAAAAAAAUCCUCCGAUGGAAACCCCGAGAGGUAAUUUCCCAAAUCUCUUCAUAAAGUU